rnacentral:rRNA from 1 species
UACGUAGGUGGCGAGCGUUGUCCGGGUUUACUGGGUGUAAAGGGCGCGUAGGCGGGUGAGCAAGUCAGUUGUGAAAUACCGAGGCUUAGCUUCGGAGCUGCGAUUGAAACUGUUCAUCUUGAGUGUCGGAGGGGAAAGCGGAAUUCCUAGUGUAGCGGUGAAAUGCGUAGAUAUUAGGAGGAACACCAGUGGCGAAGGCGGCUUUCUGGACGAUAACUGACGCUGAGGCGCGAAAGUGUGGGGAGCAAAC